rnacentral:rRNA from 1 species
UACGUAGGGUGCGAGCGUUAAUCGGAAUUACUGGGCGUAAAGCGUGCGCAGGCGGUUCGUUAAGACAGAUGUGAAAUCCCCGGGCUUAACCUGGGAAUGGCAUUGGUGACUGCACGGCUAGAGUGUGUCAGAGGGGGGUAGAAUUCCACGUGUAGCAGUGAAAUGCGUAGAGAUGUGGAGGAAUACCGAUGGCGAAGGCAGCCCCCUGGGAUAACACUGACGCUCAUGCACGAAAGCGUGGGGAGCAAACAGG